rfam:Papio anubis isolate 1X1155 chromosome 5, whole genome shotgun sequence.
UGGCGCCCGAACAGGGACCUGGAAACGAGGGACUCCGUGAGGAAGAGGACGCCAAAGGACGGUCGACCGUUAACAAGGACAAAAGAAAUUAAACUUUUUCGAUCACCGCGGGAACCUGCCGCGUCAGAAUCGAAGGUAAGUGGCGCGUCCGAAAUGGGACAAGAAUUAAGUCAGCAUCAAAUUUAUGUAGGACAAUUAAAAGAGGCUUUAAAGAUACGAGGAGUAAAGGUUAAAGGUAAUGAUUUGUUUAAAUUUUUUGAUUUUGUAAAAGAUACUUGCCCUU